rnacentral:rRNA from 1 species
AGGAUAAACGCUGGCGGCGUGCCUAACACAUGCAAGUCGAGCGUCCUACGCAAGUAGGGAGUGGCGGACGGGUGAGUAACACGUGGGCAAUCUACCUUUCGGUGAGGAAUACCGGCGAGAAAUCGCCGACAAUACCGCAUACGCUUCGCAAGAAGCAAAGUCGCAAGACGCCGGAGGAGGAGCCUGCGCCCGAUUAGCUCGUUGGUGGAGUAAUGGUCUACCAAGGCGACGAUCGGUAGCUGGUCUGAGAGGAUGAUCAGCCACACUGGGAUUGAGAACGGCCCAGACUCCUACGGGAGGCAGCAGUGGGGAAUAUUGCGCAAUGGGCGAAAGCCUGACGCAGCGACGCCGCGUGGGGGAUGAAGGCCUUCGGGUUGUAAACCCCUUUCAGCAGGGACGAAGCGAAAGUGACGGUACCUGCAGAAGAAGCGCCGGCUAACUACGUGCCAGCAGCCGC